GGGGUGUGUGCAGGGGUGAUAGAGCAGAAAACUGUUAUCUUUCAUUGCCAAACUGCAUCAGCUCGUCAUACACUAUAGAGUUGGCACUGGAUCUGUUGUGAAUUUGUACUCCAUUUAUUAUUACGAUCUCAUCAAGAAUAUGAUGGUAUUGUUGUUCUUAUGAAAUGUAACUGUAAUAUGACAUUCAUAUGAAGAGAUCUUAAUUUUGUUUUAUUAAAAGGAGGUGUUUUGGAGCAAUGGAAAUAUGUAGAGGAAUUCCGGCUGACAAGAAAGAGAAGAGGAGAUGAAGAGCUGACCUCAACUAACCAUUCAGCACUAUCACCACACUUCAGAAUGGAGGAGGAGGGUCUGUAAGGGGAAAUGAGGAGAAAUGCGGAGCAGAGCUGCAGUUUUUUGAGUUCACAGGAACCGAGGGGGAGAAAAACAGAGAUGACAGUCGUAAAAGUGGCCUUGUGCUUCCUGAUGAUCCUAAACAUCUUUAAAGAUAUUAGAGCGAAUGCAGACAUGGUGGAUGUUUGUGCCUCUUGUCAUCGAAACGCCACCUGUGAUGAUAAAACUGACGGAUCAGGAGGGAAAGUCUGCAACUGCAUGUAUGGAUUUGUCGGCAAUGGGAGGACUUAUUGCCAAGAUAAAGAUGAAUGUCAGCUGGGUAAAAUCUGUGGCGAUCACACCAAAUGCCACAACACACACGGCAGCUACUUCUGCACCUGUCUCGCAGGGUACAGCCCGUCUAAUCAAAUGAACACAUUCAUCCCCAAUGAUGGGACGUACUGCCAUGAUAUUGAUGAGUGCGUUGUUCAGGGGGUCUGUGGAGAAGGAGGACUCUGUCAGAACACAGAAGGAGAUUUUACCUGCUCCUGUCAGACGGGUUAUAAAGUCCAGGAUGGAUCUGAACCCUUUAAUCCAAACCGGGACGCAGCUCACUGCAAGGUGAUUGACUGUGGGUCUCCUCCAGCCGUCCUGCAUGCUGAUCUGCUCUCCUCCACAGUCAACACACACUACAGUACUGAGCUCCAGUACGGCUGCAGAGACGGCUUUCAGUGGAGGAGAGGACUCAACUCAUCUGUUUGCGGCCUGGAUGGAAAAUGGCAGGGGCCCAGUCUGGACUGUGAAGAAGUGGACUGUGGAGAGCCUCAUAUUUUUCCUCAGUCAGAACUAAUGUGGAAUCACACCUCUCGGAUGGGAUCUUUGGUGCUGUAUGUGUGUAAGCCACAGUUUUAUAAUCGUGGACUUGAAAAUGUGUCAGUGUGUUCUGCUCGGGGCACGUGGAGCCGUGCUGACUUCCAGUGUGCAGAGAUAGAAUGCGGUUCUCCUGCUGUCCUGCCGCACUCUGUGUUAUUGUGGAGCGGUGUCAGUAAGAUCGGUUCUGAAGCUCUGUAUGACUGUGAUGUCGGAUAUCACAGUUCGGAUACAGAAAAUAAGUCUGUGUGUAAAUCAGACGGUCAGUGGAGUAAGCCAGACUACUCUUGUGAAGAGAUUGUGUGUGGCGAGCCUCAUAUUCUGCCACUCACUGUGCAGAUAUGGGAUGGCAGAGUCACGUUUAACAGCACUGUAACAUAUCAAUGCCAACACGGUUACUAUCCUAAACAAGGACAAAAUAUAUCUGUGUGUGCUGAGAACGGUUACUGGACAAAAGCUACUCUGUUGUGUGAAGAGGUGCACUGUGGAUUACCGCCUUCUCUCCCGCUCGCGGUUAUGAUAUGGAGAGGAGACACUAAGGUUGGAUCUAGUGUGUCUUAUAAGUGCAUUGAGGGAUUUCGUAAUGUUAGGAAAGAAGAAACAUCAGUUUGUGAUUCAGAGGGAAUCUGGAGUCUGCCUGAUUUUCUCUGUCAAGAAGUAGACUGUGGCGUCCCCGUCUCUCUGCCUCAUUCAGUUGUGUUGUGGAAUAACAGCUCCAGUCUGGGCUCCGUGGCCCUCUAUGUGUGUCAAGCUGGAUUUCACACUGUGGGUGAAGGAAACGUGUCUCUGUGUCGUUCAGACGCAAAAUGGAGCAAACUUAACAUGAGAUGCGAAGAGAUCAACUGUGGGCCUCCUCCAGAAUUCCCACACACAGAUUUAGACUGGAACAAAGCAUCUACACUGGGAAGUGUGGUUCAGUAUAAAUGUAAAUCUGGACUCAAACAGGAGGGUGACAAAAACAUGACGAUGUGCAAAUCAGACGGAACGUGGGAAAAAGUGUCUGUAACGUGUUCAGCACACUGUGGCCCUGCACCAGAGCUGCCGCACACUGAGGUAUUAUGGGACAACAGCACUGCAGUCGUUCACCGCUGUGUUAAAGGACACUACAGACACGCCGGAAGUGACAUUUCAAAAUGUGACAUUACUGGAGAAUGGCAGGUUGCCACUCUCCAUUGCAGAGAGCUGAAGCUGACAAUAAAUGAUCUGGUGGUGUUUAAUGAAAGAUGUCUACGCUGGAAUGCAGAGAAUGAAGGGUAUAGGGAGAAAUACACAGUGACGUUUGUUGGAUUGCGAGACUUUGAGCAUUUCUUCAGUGACAGGAGAAAGAUGUUGUUUACCUCCUCUGCAGUUUGGCCUGUUCUCUGCUUAAAUCUCCUGCCAGCAACAAACUACACCAUAACAAUCACGGCCGAGUCCACACGAGCCACGGCUACAGUUACAGCAAACACUAGCAUACCAGUUCCCCCAACACCAGAAAUCAAAUACAGUGAAGUAGAGGCUUCAUCGCCCACUCUCAGACUGAGAAGAUCCACCAACACACUCGACUCAAUAUGCAUGUACGAGGUGUUUGUGUUGCCGGUGGAGGGUGUGAUGCUGUUUGACUGCAGCUCCUCUUUAAGUCGGCACUUUUCAACACAGCAGGGCUGUGAUGGCGGAUACGUCACGGCUCAGAUUCAGCUUCGAGAUCUGAACGCAGAAAUGAACUUCACUGUGGGCGAUCAGCAGCUCUACGGAGACUUCUUCAACGCUCCUCUGCAGAACGGAAAAGACUAUUUCAUUAUCCUGCGCACCGUGUGUCAGUGGGGAAAGGGACACACUACAUCAUGAAGAUAUCUGCUUUGGUAACUGUUGGAUCGAUUAGUGCUGUCGGCUCAGUCAUUAUUGUGGGAUACUGGUACAGCUGGUACUGUAAAAAGUCCAGUCCUAGGCAUUUUUCUCAAGUUUUAUAAAAACAUCCUGACAUACUGAUACUUUGUUUUUAAAUAAAGCUGAUUGUCUUGUCAUAA